rnacentral:lncRNA from 1 species
UUUCGAGAGCAAUUACAUAACCGUAUUUAGAAUUUUUGCAGUUUGAAAUACAAGGUGGGGUUUUCCAAUCUUGACAAUCCUUGACAGUCAAUGGACGGGGGGGAGACCUCAAAACUGGGACAGGUCGAAAACUGGAUAGAUUCGGAAUCCACACAGUUACAUUGGGUUAAUUAUUCCUCUCAAUAUCAUUAUGGCUUUCAAAUGAUACAUAGGGUGGAGAUUGAAAAAUGGCAAAAUCCCACAAAAGCUUAUUCAACAUAACAUUUUCUGGUAAACUCUGCCAGAAAAAGCAGCUGCAAUUACUUAACAAUCGUUUUGUUUGCGGGAUUGGUACAAACAAUAUGACACAGGCAUUGGCUGCUCGCUGGUCUGGCAUCACUGCAUGAACAUUUUUGAGGCAUUGCACUUGCUGGAAACCGUCUCAGCGCUUCAUCAAAACAUCUGGGAUUCCCUUCAUAUCCACAUACAGCUUUAACUGGGAAACCGAAAGUUGUCGGGCAAAGCUUGGGUUGCUGGCCUGAAAUGGAAGAAUAAAACACAAAUCCAAGAUAGUUAAAAUAUUAGUUCAUAUACAAGAAAUAUUUGGGGAUAUAUAUGUUAUUAAUCUUCUUGUUGACACACCUCACUAACUGCUUGGUCUUCGAAAGAAAUAAAAAAAAAAAAAAUUGGUGAGGAAUUCCACUGAUUAAUAAAGAAAUGAGCAUUACAACAACUUCCUCAGUGUAAUAUUUGGAAAAAAAAAAAGGGUAAUGAAUGUAAGCCGAUGAGAAAUGGAAGAUAACAAGGGUGGCUGAUAAAUAAAACACCACUUAGCUUUCUAGUUCUCACCUGUAGAAGGGGCCAUAAAGAGACUCAAGACAAGCGACACAAAAAGAAGGGGAAACACAAUUGAGUUCUUCAUCAUGCUUCUUGUUUGGACUUUGCACAGAAUUAGCUUUUGUAUCAAUCUGAACUAGCCAAUGCUCACUAGUAGUUGUGUCACCUUUUUAUAGUGCUACUAAGUGCUAACACGGGCAAG